GCGGGCCGGAGCGGGGCGCGCACAGCAUGGCGGAAGCGGAAGGGAUUUCGCCUCUCCUGUUGCCGCGGCAGCCACCCCCGCCCGGGAUGGCGGAAGUGGAGGCGCCGACGGCGGCCGAGACGGACCAGAAGCAAUCCAGCGGCACUGGCGGCGGCGCCAUGGACGUGGAGCGGAGCCGCUUUCCCUACUGCGUGGUGUGGACGCCCAUCCCGGUGCUCACGUGGUUUUUCCCCAUCAUUGGCCACAUGGGCAUCUGCACGUCCACAGGAGUCAUUCGGGACUUUGCUGGCCCCUACUUUGUCUCGGAAGACAACAUGGCCUUUGGGAAGCCUGUCAAGUACUGGAAGUUGGACCCUGCUCGGGUAUACGCCAGCGGGCCCAAUGCGUGGGACACAGCUGUGCACGACGCCUCUGAGGAGUACAAGCACCGCAUGCACAAUCUCUGCUGUGACAACUGCCACUCACACGUGGCGUUGGCCCUGAACCUGAUGCGCUACAACAAUAGCACCAACUGGAACAUGGUGACAGUCUGCUUCUUCUGCCUGCUCUAUGGGAAGUAUGUCAGGUGAGCUACCCACCUCCCACCACCCCUUGGAGAUGUUGAAGGUUCUAGAAGAACUAGCGGAGUUCCUGGUGGACAAGGAGGUGGCUGUGCUAAAGCGUCGGGGCCUUCGUGAAGACCUGGCUACCCUUCGUCCUCCUCCUGGGCAUCAUCUUAACUGCCAGCCUGGUCUUUAACCUUCGGUGAUGGCUGCCUCCUGGCCCUGGACCUGCCACUCCUUUUGGUUCCAGAUUCUUUUCCUCUCCCCAAAAGGCAGGGAUGGGCCUGCUGCUGGUUUUGAGCCAGGAGUCUGGGCUAGGUGGGCUGGAAUAGGCUGAGGAUGAGCAGGGCUGGGGGGGCGGGGGGUGUGGUUGCGUAUGGUGUCUCACUGGUCACUCAGAAGUUCCCUGUGCCCUCCUCCCCAGGCCGGUGACCCCUGUGCUUGAGGCACCCUCUCUGCCCAUCUGUUGGAAAGGCUUUAACUUCUCCCUGUAGCUGCUCCUGUGCUGCCUCAGCUCAGUGCCUGGUGGGGAGGGGAGGGCAUUUGGAGCCACCAGACGGGUCAGAGCUGGAUUUGGAGCCUGUUCUCCUGCCAGGGCUCGGUCCUGGGGGGGGCGGGGAACACUAGGAAGUUUCCAUAAGCUAAGCCACCUGGGCCUCUCCGCUGGCCUCCGGAAUGGUCCAGCAGGGCUGGGUGGCCCCCUUUGGCCAGAAGCUGCACUAGGGGUAGUUUGUGCCCCAUCUGGGGUCCUCCAGACCAUGCAGCCCCUUAUUCCCACUCUCCCAGGGCCCAUCUCCCACUUGAGCCCACAUCCCUCAGCAAAUUGGGGCCUGGGCCCCCCAGUCAGGCUGGAGAGAUGAGUGACACUGAUGUGUCCAGAGUGACACCCUGCAGACCAGAGCAGCGGAAACAAAGCCUGGCCCUGGCCCCAGGUGUGGGCCUCACUCUGGGGAUGGCACCCUUGGGUCCAAGAUGUGCCAGAGCAGCCAGCGCCAUCACGGAGCUGAGGGGAGCUGUUUCCUCCUCACCAGGGCUCCCUCUUCUCUUCGCGCUGUGGGAAGGGCCUGUGCUGCCCCUCACCCCUGCCCCACCGAUUCCUGUGGGGGGGGGGGGGGCUCCCUGGACAGGACAAUAAAGAAUUUUAA